UUCAGGGCGACAGCUCAGUGAAGUCUUCAUUCAGUUACCUUCAAGGAAAGAAUUACCAGAAUACUAUGAAUUAAUUAGGAAGCCAGUGGAUUUCAAAAAAAUAAAGGAUUCGUAAUCAUAAGUACCGGAGCCUAGGCGACCUGGAGAAGGAUGUCAUGCUUCUCUGUCACAACGCUCAGACGUUCAACCUGGAGGGAUCCCAGAUCUAUGAAGACUCCAUCGUCUUACAGUCAGUGUUUAAGAGUGCCCGGCAGAAAAUUGCCAAAGAGGAAGAGAGUGAGGAUGAAAGCA
rnacentral:lncRNA from 1 species